rnacentral:rRNA from 1 species
GAUGAACGCUGGCGGCGUGCCUAAUACAUGCAAGUCGAGCGAACAGACGAGGAGCUUGCUCCUCUGACGUUAGCGGCGGACGGGUGAGUAACACGUGGAUAACCUACCUAUAAGACUGGGAUAACUUCGGGAAACCGGAGCUAAUACCGGAUAAUAUAUUGAACCGCAUGGUUCAAUAGUGAAAGACGGUUUUGCUGUCACUUAUAGAUGGAUCCGCGCCGCAUUAGCUAGUUGGUAAGGUAACGGCUUACCAAGGCAACGAUGCGUAGCCGACCUGAGAGGGGGAUAGGCCACACUGGAACUGAGACACGGUCCAGACUCCUAAGGGAGGCAGCAGUAGGGAAUCUUCCGCAAUGGGCGAAAGCCUGACGGAGCAACGCCGCGUGAGUGAUGAAGGUCUUCGGAUAGUAAAACUCUGUUAUUAGGGAAGAACAAAUGUGUAAGUAACUAUGCACGUCUUGACGGUACCUAAUCAGAAAGCCACGGCUAACUACGUG